GCCUACUGCUGCUGCUGGGUAGAGUCCGGCCACGCUACUGCUAGGUGUUGUGUGUUCUGGAAGAUGGAAGAGGAAGAAAACCUAUUUUUGUUGAACUAAAUUUUCUGUAUUCUGUUUUGUUGUACGUAUCAUUAGAUAGUUUUGUAUAGGAACAAGUGAUACUAUUUUGUAGGGCUUUAUGGCCUAUGAUGUAAACAUGUUUAGUGCUGAAAUAUGAAAUUAUUUGCAAAAUUUGUCAAAAAGGUGGAUCAUAUGUAUGAAUAUGUGAAUGGGCUGAAAAGAGUACUGGACCAACUCCAGGAUUGAAUUAA